UUGCUGAAAGUCAAUUGCCUAA
rnacentral:siRNA from 1 species